UACGUAGGGGGCUAGCGUUGUCCGGAAUCAUUGGGCGUAAAGCGCGUGUAGGCGGUUCGGCAAGUCCGCUGUGAAAGUCGGGGGCUCAACCCUCGAAUGCCGGUGGAUACUGUCGGGCUAGAGUGCGGAAGAGGCGAGUGGAAUUCCUGGUGUAGCGGUGAAAUGCGCAGAUAUCAGGAGGAACACCAAUUGCGAAGGCAGCUCGCUGGGACGUAACUGACGCUGAGGAGCGAAAGCGUGGGGAGCGAACAGG
rnacentral:rRNA from 1 species